rnacentral:misc_RNA from 1 species
GAUGAAGAACGUAGCGAAAUGCGAUAAGUAAUGUGAAUUGCAGAAUUCAGUGAAUCAUCGAAUCUUUGAACGCAUCUUGCGCUCCUUGGUAUUCUGAGGAGCAUGCCUGUUUGAGUGUCAUUAAAUUCUCAACUACACUGACUUUGAAUUGGUGUGGCUUGGAUUUGGGGGGAAAAUUGUUGUGGGCUUUUUGUAUAGUCUGCUCCCCUGAAAUUGAUUAGCGGUACCUUUGUGGAACUGUCUACAGGUGAUAAUUAUCUACAUCUUAGACAUCUGCUGGAAUGCUGCUUUCUAAACCUUACUUGUAUUGACAAUCUUGACCUCAAAUCAGGUAGGACUACCCGCUGAACUUAAGCAUAUCAAUAAGCGGAGGA